rnacentral:lncRNA from 1 species
UAUUAUCUCUCAAUCAGAUUCUGUGAAGAAAUCAAAGAUGGCUUAUGCUACUGCAUUAUCUCUCAGUCAGAUUCUGGAGCAGAUAUCGAAUCCUCAUUUAGGACAACAUCAAACUCCUCUUCAGGACCAACAAAUUUAAAUCUUUUUCGCGGGAAGUUGAGUUUCUUACCUCAUUUUCUGGAUGAUUCUUGGCAGAUAAAGAGCUAGGAAGUAUGGUGUUUGGAAAGGGAGAUUCGAGAUGCAGCAUACAAAACUGAAUAUACCAUCGAAUCACAUACAUCAAAAAAUUUAGAUCAGGAAGGUUUUUAUGAAAUACAAAUGAGGGGCCAAGAUAUUUUGUGAAAACUUGGAGAGAGUAGCAGAUGAAAUUGAUUCCAUUAAGACAGAGGCAGCUAAGCUUAAGGAGUUGUGGAGCUGUCAUUGCACAACGAUUAUGAAAAUAGAGAAUUCUGACUUUGUCGACUCGAGUACUAUGAAAUGUUCCAUUGUAUCAUUCGUUGUGUAAUAUUUUUUUGUAUUUAGAACAUGUACCAUAACAUUGAAGAACGGAGAAUGAUAUUGUACUACUGUACAUUCAAGAUAUAUGCAAUCUUAUUGCCUCACUUUGCUAUGCUAUAUAAUGGUUUUUAUAUUAUUUUAAAGAUAUUCUAAAAUCGUACCAUCAUACAUGUGCCUAA